rnacentral:tRNA from 1 species
GGAAGAGUGGCUGAGAGGUUGAAGGCACCGGUUUCGAAAACCGGCAUCCGGGAAACUGGAUCAAGAGUUCAAAUCUCUUCCCCUCCG